UACGUAGGGGGCUAGCGUUGUCCGGAAUCAUUGGGCGUAAAGAGCGUGUAGGCGGUCCGGUAAGUCCGCUGUGAAAGUCGGGGGCUCAACCCUCGAAUGCCGGUGGAUACUGUCGGGCUAGAGUGCGGAAGAGGCGAGUGGAAUUCCUGGUGUAGCGGUGAAAUGCGCAGAUAUCAGGAGGAACACCAAUGGCGAAGGCAGCUCGCUGGGACGGUACUGACGCUGGAGGCGACGAAAGCGUGGGGAGCAAACAGG
rnacentral:rRNA from 1 species